rnacentral:lncRNA from 1 species
UCCAAGCAAGUAUGGAAGCUAUCAGAGCUAUGUUCCCCUGCAGAGACGCCUUUGGAUAUUGUCUUCUUUCUCUAGCAGAUCUAAGGAUUGCCUAUCCCCAGCAGGCCUAGAAGUGGGUUUAUUCCCCAGCGAAUAUUUCCCCAGUUGAGAUUCCCACUGAGUAUGAAGGAUGUGGUAUCCCCAGCGGAGGUAUCAGUGGAGUGUUGUUCCCCAGCAGUCGGGUUUGAAGUACUGUUAUCCCCAGCGUGGUCGUGAGCGCUCAUCCCUAG